UCAGCCAUUAGUGCGCACGCACACACACACAGAGCACUGUAACAAAAGUUCGGUUGUUUAAGGACAGUAAAUACCUGCCUCCCUCUUUCUCAAAUUACAAUUUAAUACUAGAAUAUUACUUCUGGAUAGAAUGUACCCAGCUAGAUGUCAUAUUUAUUCAAUUUAUUUUAACUUAUGGAAGUAGCACACUAGUCAAUAUAAAGCAAUGACAAGAAGUUUAAAAAAUUACUCAUUGCUAAUGUCCCAUUACAGGAUUCAUGAAGCAACUGAUCACAAGCUGAAUGGGGAGAAGAGAAGGCAGGGAUGGAGAGUAGGAAUUCUACUACCAUUUGACCGUAAGUUGUUCUCAGGUUGAAGGCAGAACUCUUAUACCGUGUAUUAAAAAAGAACAGAAAGAUACCAGACACCCCCAAUCAAAAAAAAAAAAAACCAAACCAAAACCAAAACAAACCCAAACCAAACAACAAACCAAACCCAAAAAACCAGAACAACCCAAAACCAAACCAGGCAUGAUUAAGUAUUAUCAGCAGUUUCAUAAUCAAGACUGUGUUUACAUUCACAGAGGGAGAGGAAGGAACAAAGAGUAAUGAAUGUGCAAGUAAGAACUGGCUUCACAAAGGGAGAAUGCAGCUCUGCACAGCAAUGCGGAAAAGUAAAAAUUCUCAUUUAGUUGAGUUCACAGGAUCAAAAUGCAUUCGGGCUCACAAAUGCUUUGUGCCCUUCAUGUUUUAACCUUGUAUGCCUUCUGUGAAUGGAACUCCGAGCAGUUAUGAAUGCAGCUCAUCUCUGCAGCUGCUCCUUAUGCAUACAAGGCAAUCAGCAGCCUCCAGGUUGACCCUGGGGUUUGUUUGCUGCUCCUAGUUGGAGCUAAAACAUCGAAGAGGUCAGAAGCAAGCCAUGUACUGAAAAAAGAGUAACAAUAGAAAGCCUUCAUCACCCAACAAAACAAAAUUAUCUAGAGAGAAGUGAAGGAGCCAGAACAGUUGUUCCUCUCUCGCUGGCUGCUGUCACACUGGCAGUUUUGAUAAUGCAAGAGACUGAUCUCAAAGUGGCUUGAGAAAGGAGGCUACAGUCCAGCCAAUUACACAGCCGCUUCUGAAAGACCGAAGGGGCUGUAUGCUGGUGGAGAGGGGAAGGAUUCUAAAAAGAGGAACCGAGAUCAAAGAACAUCCUAGAGUGAUGAGAAAACAGAGUCUGAAAGAGUAAAUGUUGUAUUUCUCAUUGUAAGUAUCACAUCCUCUAAAGAUGAAAGGUGUUUGGAAGCUUCGCAGAACCUGUGCAGUACAUGCACAGCUUACGUGUCUGUGAAGAAAUGAAACAAAUCAGGAUGCCCGCAAGUCUGGAACCGUAGUAAAAGGGUUUCAGGGUGCUGCGGGGAAUUUCCUGAACUGCCGACAUCACCCCUCUCUAGCACUGCACAGGAAAUAUACUAGUGACAAAAGAGAAAGAAAUAGCAAAGAUGCUACCCAGACUAAGAACUUAAGAGCCCAGAGGGCCAGCAUGCUAGGACUCAAACACUGCAUAUUAUGUUGGAAAUUGGAAUGACCAGUAUGGUAUAUAGCCAAACUGGUUAAAAUGUCCAUCUAAUAAUUCAAGGGCAUUGCUUAAGCAACACACUUUCUGGAAGAACAUCAAGCCUCUAAACCAACAUGUUUUAGCAAAACAGUUCCACAGUCUAAGGUGGAAUUGUGAAGACAAACUACACAAAUUUAAGAAAAAUAGUAAUUCAUCGAAUUAGAACUUAGAGACUGCAGGAAGAUCCAGCGAAUAGUCUAUUGUGUAUAAAUAAGUUUGACCCAUUACGAGCUAUGAUCUGGCAAAAAUUAUUCUAUUACCUUAAAAUAGUAGAAUUUAUAUAUUACACAAAAUUUCUAUCGAAUUACCGCAGUCUAAAAUUAGUAACAAGUUUCUCUCCCUUUACACAGUAACUGGUGUAACAACUAUGUUUGUGAUUUUGAAAGUGGUUAUUCAUCAUAAUAAGUUUAAAUACUGAUAAAGUACACAACUACUCUAAUAACUGAGAAGGAGAAAGAAGGCAAAGUCAAGACACUUGAAGUACAUCCAAAGAGCAGUUUCUGACCGUGUGUGAAAAUAAACUAGGAAACGUAACUGUUGAAGAGGAAAAAGAGUUCUUUUCAACACAUUUUACCCCUUGACUUUGCAAAGCAACAUUUCUCAAGAGAUUCAGAGAUUAUCUAUGCCAAAUUUCCUUCCUCAUUUUGGAAAGCCUUUAAUUGCCAUGUUAAAUUAACCAUCCACUCAAGACAUCUCACU